GUAGGAUAAAGGGUCGGCACAACACCUAGGGCCGAAGGGCCUGUACUGUGCUAUACUCUUCUAUGUUGUAUGGAUUGCUCAAGCAAGUAACUAGCUGUGUCAGGAUGGGCACGAAAUACUGACCUAGGGCAUUAGCCUGGGGGUCUGGAUUAUGACACUAACACUGUUCCAUCAUAACUCCCUAAAGGAGGACGUUCCCAGUGAACUGGCUGAUCAAUCAGGGCCAGUCUGAAAUCCUGCUACUUAGACUCUCAUUUCCAUGUUUAUUUGACUUGAAUCUAUUUUCCUACAAUCCAGGGUGGCUGUGUUUUGACUCAUCUUAAUCUUUCAAGAAACUCAUUGACAGAUGAUUCAAUCAGUGACUUUGCCAGGUACUUGGCAUCAGCUGCAUCUCUGACAUCGCUUGAUCUAUCAGAGAACCCGGGGAUCAGUUCCUGUGGGAUGGAGAGACUCCUGACUGCUUUAGCCCAGAGGGAUUCAUGGAUGGAAGUCCUUGAUGUGAGAGACUGCUCGGUGCAACACUUUGAUAACCAGUGCGAGACUGCAAAGUGGAAUCUAGGAGAGCUGCGUCUCUGAAUCCUGAAGGGACAAGAACAGCCAAAAAUUCUAAAAGGAAAGUUCCCAGAAUGCAACAGCAGCAGAAUUGCCUGGAACCGUUUAUGCCCAAGGAAGAAGGGGGAACAUUUCCAUUCUGCAAUCUCUUAGGGAUUCCUGGCUUUAAAUACUGUCACAGGAACUGGAGGCCAUUCAGCCCCUCAUAGAGGAUGGGUAUGCGAUGGCAUAUCUGCACUUUAACUAGAUUCAUCUGCUGUGCCUCAAUUUGUGUUACUCAUUCAUCUGGAUUGAUUCAUUGUGACUGAGAGAGGAUGAAUUUGCAGGAGCCAAGAACACAACAUGUUGCUGUGUAUUUAAACAGCACCGAAUGGGUCAAGGAGGCACAUCAGUAAUUACUGCAUUAUUCUGCUGUUAACCCUUCUCACCUCUUCCCUGUCCUUGGGCAAGGACUUCCCCGUGCACCAGGUGCUGUUCAAAUACCUCAGUCAAAAUCUCAUGAUCCAAUCUGGAUCACCAGAGUCAAAUGGAGAGCAGUCAUUUCCAAACCAGAUGCUGUCAUCUCGCAGUGCACACAGUCAUAGCCCUCCAGAAGGAAGGCUCAUCGGGGAUCGGUGAGGGACUCUCAUCGGGGAUCGGUGAGGGACACUCAUCGGGGAUCGGUGAGGGACACUCAUCGGGGAUCGGUGAGGGACACUCAUCGGGGAUCGGUGAGGGACACUCAUCGGGGAUCGGUGAGGGACACUCACCGGGGAUCGGUGAGGGACACUCAUCGGGGAUCGGUGAGGGACACUCACCGGGGAUCGGUGAGGGACUCUCAUCGGGGAUCGGUGAGGGACUCUCAUCGGGGAUCGGUGAGGGACUCUCAUCGGGGAUCGGUGAGGGACACUCACCGGGGAUCGGUGAGGGGGCAGUGUGGUGUGUGAGGCACCUUGGAGGCUGUGUGCUCCUGGCUUACUAUUGUCACAGAAUCUAAUGGUCAUGGGUUCAAUCAGCACCCCGGUAGAUGGAUUGCAAAACCCAGGUCAACAUUCCUGGUGGGGACCAACCCAUCCUUACUCAGUGUUCUUCUGAUCCUCCUCAAUCUGGCCCAGGCAUGGCUCCCUUUCAGAAAUGACCACAACUUCCUGUCUCUCUCUUUACAUCCUCUGAGCAACUCAGCAGGGUUUCACUAGCAAUGCUUCUAAGGGUCGUGGAUACUUUCCUCUUGCGCUUGACCUCCCACAAUGCAUCACCACCCCUCACACUUGUCCGUAUUAGACUCCAUCUGCCAUUUCUCCACUCAACUCUCCAUCCAACCUAUAUCCUACUGUAUCAUUUGACAACCUUCCUCACUAUCCACAACGCCACCAAUCUUCAUGUUGUCUGCAACCUUACUAUUCAGACUACCAACAUUUCAUCCAAAUCAUUAUAUAUUACAAAUAACAGAGGUCCCAGCACUGAUCCUUGUGGAACCUCACCGGUCGCAGACCUCCAGACAGAAAAUGCUUCUCCCACCACUACCCUCUGUCUCUAUGACCAAGCCAAUUUGGUAUCCAACUUACCAACUCACCAUGGAUCCCAUGUGACUUAAUCUUCGGAAACAGCCUACCAUGAGGGGUCUUGUCAAAUGCUUUAGUAAAGUCCAAGUAGGCUACAUCCACUGCCCUACCCUCAUCGAUUAUCUUCAUGACUUACUCAGAAAACUCUGUCACAUUUGUGAGUCAAGACCUUCCCCACACAAUGACUAUGUUGACCAUCCGCAGUAAGUUCAUUCUUUUUCCAGACGGGAGUACAUCCUGCCCCUAAGAAUCUAAUUAUUUCCCACCCAUUGAUGGGAUUAUUCUUGUUGCCAUUUUUAACCAUUGGCUAUCCUCCAGUCUCUCCAAACUUCUCUUCAAAAACAGAGUGACUGUGAGGAGCACUGACUGCUAUGUCAGAGGAGAGACUGAGCCUCGGGAUGGUUAAUAGCUACCACAUUAUCUCCCUUGUCUGAUUGUUUAUCUGAUAUCCUGGACUGGGUGAUAGAAAUUUACACCAGUCCCAUAGUCCAUCCUGCUGCCUGUGUAAGGCAGAAAGGGUGGCAGAGGCUGAAACGCUUAUUGAAAAACCCUUGAAUAACUGCACUGAGAACAGUAACGUACACAGCUACUAACCAGAGAAAUAUUAAACUAGGAGCUGGAGGGGGCCAUUCAGCCCUUUAAGCCUGCUGCACCAUGCAAUGACAAUUCUUCCAACUCAAUCCCCUGUUCCCACUUUCUCCCCAUACCCUGAGAUUACUUUCACCCUGAGAACUGUACCCAACUCCUCCUUGGAAACAUUCAGCGUUUUGACCUCAACCACUUUCCGUGGUAGAGAAUUCCCCGCUCGCUGGGAGAAGGAAUUUCUCCUCCUGAGAGACCCAGAGCUGGAAGGUGUGAUAGCGCUGGUUCACAAACCCAGGGAGGCAGGGGAUAAAAUAAUCCUUCCAGAAUCACUGCUAUUCUCCUCAUAACCUUCAUGUCAGACUUUCUCCAGAGAUAGGUUUCCGGUCAAAUAUCCUUCUGUAUCUCCACCACACACCUUACCCAUCCCCCCAACGCUGCCUCAGCUCAUUGGCUGCAGAAACCCUCAUCAAGCCUCACUUACCCUCAGUCGUAAAACACAGGCAAUAGGAUACCACAGCACAAAGCUAAGGUUAGGAUAGAGGGGGAGCCAGGGCAAACCACAUACACUCUGGCUCUGAGGUAGAGGUUCUGCAGUCAUGGCUGAAACAGGCCAUAAACCAGACGCCCUAAUGUCUCUUCCUGCUCUGCUGGCUACCCUAACCCUUACCCUCACCCACUCACCCAACCCAAAACCCCUCCCCGAGGCUGGCCCUGUCCUUACCCCCAGCAAGGUCUGCUUGCCCAUCACUGCCCUGUUCACUAACACCGGCUCCUCAUGUAUAACAUUCUCACCCUCCUUUCCAAAUCCCUUGGCAGCCUGUCGCUACCACAAAUGGGUUCUGAAGCAGGGUCACUGGACCCGAAACAUUAACUCUGCUCUCUCUCCACAGAUCCUGUCAAACCUGCCGAGUUUUUCUAUCAAUUUCUGUUUUUGUUUCUGAUUUCCAGCCUCCAUAAUGUUUUUGGUUAUUUUUACCAGUACUCAAAUUCAAUAUUCCAAUAUUCAUUUCAAUAUUCAAUGCAGGUUCUGUUUGACAAAUAUUCAAAGGUAGAGGAGGAGAAUGGUAUUAUUUCACUCAUUUUUAUUCAUGCUACACAUACCUUUUUUAUUAGGAUUUAUAACUGACCCAUGUUCGCAUGUUUUGAAAUAAAGAGCUGCUUUUGAGCAAA